rnacentral:lncRNA from 1 species
UUGCUCUUGUUGCCAGGGCUGUUGCAGACCUCUGUGUUCCAGGAUCGAAGUGGAGUUAAAGUACAUUCUUCUUUGUCGGGUGUACUCUCUCUUCCAGGGCAUUCCUUUCGCGCUCUGUUGGCUUUACAGGAAGUGGGAGCUGCACCUCGCCUCUGUUCGGGUCGGGACACGCCUUCACUCCCGCUCCCCGCCCGAAGCCAAGCUCCAUUCCUAGACCGGGGGUUCCCCGCUGUGUGAGGGCCGGGCUUCGGGGUUUGGACCCAGAGGGGUGACGCGCGUUCGUGAGUUGCAGCGGAAAGCGAGGACAGUGGGUGGAAAAGGCAAAGGACGCAUUUGACAAAUCUGAUUUAUGUCCUCAGACCAAGUCCCCGCAACAGGAAAAGAACCCCCAAUGCUUCUCCGCCCUGCCAGUCGGGGCGGACCAAACAGGUACCACGGAACGCCGGGGACGAGCGCGCCGGAACCAGGCUUCGGUUAAGACAAAUCAGCUGCAAUUGGGUCAUUCCUGUCCAGUCACAAGGCACAUUGUCCGCCUCCUUUGUUGCGGACUGCUUCAUGUGACUGAGCUCUUGAUAUCGGAUGGCAGCAGAAGCCUGAUGCGCCCUUCUGCACUACGCUUUCAAGGAACUAGUCAUUGUAUGCAUUUCCCACAAGCACAGUGACCUUGGAAGCCACACGUUUAAGAUGGCAGAAACUCUGUCCUACCAAGUCCCUGAAUGACUUGGAGUUCAUGGGGCAGAACCCUUCUAAGCUGGAACACCCCUCUGGACCAUUUCGUUAGAAAUUAAAGCUUCUAUUGUGUUUGAAGGAUUAUAUUUUAAGGUCUAUGUUUUAAAAUGAGUAAGUCUACUUUAAUUAGUUAUGAUCUUAAAAAAUUAGAUACUUUAUUUUUCCCCUGGAAGUAGCCUUGAUGUUAUUUAUUUGCUAAUUUAUAAAGCUUUUGUUCUUCUGAAAUAAACCUUUUUUUGGAUAUACUUGGUUUUAAAUCCUGGCUCCACCACUUAGGAGCUAUGUAAUCAGGAUAAUUACCUCUGAGCUUCAGUUCUUUUCUGAGCUUUACAGUUCCAUCUGUAAAAUGGGAUGAUACCUUCUUCAUAGCCUGUUAUGAGACUUAGUGAGAUAAUGCUUAUAAAACACUGCCUGGAACAUAGGAAGACUUCAAUAAACAGUAGCAGUUUUUAUUGUAAUAAGAAUAAUUUUUAUUUAAAGUUUAUUUAU